UUCGGCACUUGUAAUCCUUAAUUUAGGUAUGUAUUUUGUUGUGUUUUUAAAAAAUUUUACGUUUUUAAGAUCGUUGCUUCGUGUUCUUCAAAACCCAUGUCUUAAUUUUGUGAAUUGUGAAUAAUUUUGAAAUGUGCCAUUGAUGAAUGCUUGAGUUUUAUGAUGCUAGUAGGUGAAAUAUGAAAUAUAUUUGUUAGAUUAACAUGUAUUGUUUUUGAAUUUUUGAUGAAAUUGAGUAAUUAGGGUUAAAUUGUGAAAAUAAAUUUUUCAAGGGACUAAAAUGCUAAAUAAAUGAAAAUAUGGAAUUAUAUAGACACUAGGAAUAUUCGGCCGUAGGAGUGUAGUUAAAUUUUGUGUAUUUUGUGUUUUGAGCAAAAAGGAUUAAAUUGUAAAAAGUGUGAAAUGUUAGGGGCAAAAUUGUAAUUUGCCCAUUCAUGUAUUUUUAGUCUAAAUUGAAUAGAAUGGUGUUUAAAUAAGCUUAAUUUGAAUAUGAUUUAGAUCAAGAAUUAAAGGAAUCGGAUUUGGAUUGGGGAAAGACAAAAGUGGUCGAGUAGCCGAUUUAACAGUCAACGAUAUCCGAGGUAAGUCUAUUAGCAAUUUAUUGUUAUUAACUCAACAUAUAUAUAUAUAUAUGUGUGUGUGUAUAUUUAUUAUAUAAUUGAUGAGCUAUAAUUAAAAGUAUAUAAAUUGAAUUUAGUUAAUAUAAGCAUUUAUAUAUGUAAAUAAGAAGUUCGAAUAAGUAUGUAUAUAUAAGUAUAAGUUUUUUGGAGUUAAGUGAAAGUAUGGAUGUUAUAUUUGUAUUUAUAAUGUUCGAAUAUAUAUAUGUAUAUAUAUAUAAAUAAGUUUUUGAAUUUAGUUGAAUUGUGAAUGUUAUAAAAAUAUUCAUACGGUUCGAAUAAGCAUGUAUAUACAUUUUUAUAUUGAAUUUAAGUAUGAAAUUAUAUAUGUAUAUGUUAGAUUCGAAUAUGUAUAUAUGUACAUGUAUAAGUUAUUGUAUUGAAAUUAGAUAUGAAGUUAUAUAUAUAUGAGUAUGAGGUUCGAUUGUGUAUGAAUAUAUAUAUAAGUUCAUGAGUUGAAUUAUAAGUAUAAAUUAUAUAUAAAUGUAUAUGAGGUGCAAAUAUGUAUGUAUACACAUGUAUAAUUUUUGUAUUGAAUCAAAGGUAUGAAAUUAUUAGCUUAGAUUAUUUAUAAUAUGUUUGAAUGUAUGAUAUGUUUUCUUUGAAGUGAAUUUAAUGCCAUAAAAUGUGUAUGUAUUUAAGUAAUUCGAAUGUUAAAUGUAUAUUACUUAGGGUAUAUUAUAAAUUUAAUAGUAUGAUAUUAGUAGUAGGAUUCAAGAUAUAAAGUUAUAUACAUAAAUUUGUUAGGUUGAAUCAUGAAGUUAUUGAGCUAGAUUUGGUGUUUGAAUUUCAUGAACCUAUGUGGUUCAAAGAUAUAGGUUAUAAAUUUUGAGCUGAAUUUUUAUGUAUGGAUUUAUAUACAUAUAUAGUUCGAAUAUGAAUUACAGCUUCUUUGAACUGAAAUUAUUGUUGUGAAUUGUACAAGUAUGUUUUAAGUGCAUGAUUGUUACGUAGAAUUGAAUAUAAUUCAAUUCCAACGGAGAAACGACUAUCGGAUUUAUUGCCAGUGAAAUUAUUCAGACUAUACGUCUAGCAGGCUAAGUGCCGGUGAACUGAAUCAGGCUAUAGGCCUAGCAGGCUAAGUGCCGGUGAACUGAAUCAGGCUAUAGGCCUAGCAGGCUAAGUGCCGGUGAACGGAAUUAAACUAUAAGCCUAUCAGGUGAAGUGCCAGUGAAUCUGUUUAAAUUAAGUGAUUCUAUGCAUUGGGCAUAAAUAUAUAUGAUUUUGUUUAUAUGAAAUGGAUAAAUUUAUGAACAUUGUUUCAAGGUGGUUGAUGAGUAUAUAAUCGUUCGAAUCCUUGUGAAUAGUGAGUAUGUAUAUAUAUAUCGGUUGUCAUGAAAUUGUUGGAUAUAUAUAUGUAUAUAUAUGUAUGCAUUCGGCAUAGGUGGGUAUAAGUGUAUAUGUGCAUUCGGCACUUAUAGUUGAUAAGUAUAAAAAUUAUGCUUUUGGUAUAUGUAUUUGAACAAUUAUAUUUAAAUGGAUCCGAUGAAGUGCGAACAAUAAGUACUAUAGAAAUCAGUACAUGCAGUUAAUGAUUAUGUUAGUAAAUUGAUUAUAUGCAUAUAAUGUAUAUACAUUUGUCCGUUUAUGUGUAUUAGAUAAAUACACAUCCUUUUAGAUUUAAACAAAAUGACUUAAUAUAGCAAUGUUUGAUUAGUAAUUAUAAUUGAUAAUUGUGAUUUCAAUAAAUUUACUUAAAGAAUUAUAUGAUUCUUUUAUAUGUAUUUUAGAUAUGCUAUAGACUUACUAAGCUAUAAAAGCUUACUUUGAUUGUUUUUGUCCAUUUGUUUUUAUAGAUUUUGGAGACGCGUUACGAGCUCGGGGAUCAUCAGCAUAGUCUAUCACACUAUCGACUACUUUUGGUAUUUUGUUAAAUAUUUGAACUCAAUCUUAUGGCAUGUAUAGGUUUGAGUACGAUGUUAGUUAGAUUUUGAUUGUAAAUUAUAAAUAGCAAUGCGAAAAUGAUUUAAUUUUCAUGUUUGUGAUCA
rnacentral:lncRNA from 1 species